rnacentral:rRNA from 1 species
GGCAGCACGGGAGCAAUCCUGGUGGCGAGUGGCGAACGGGUGAGUAAUAUAUCGGAACGUGCCCAGUGAUGGGGGAUAGCCCGGCGAAAGCCGGAUUAAUACCGCAUACAACCUACGGGUGAAAGCAGGGGAUCGCAAGACCUUGCGUCAUUGGAGCGGCCGAUAUCAGAUUAGCUUGUUGGUGGGGUAAAAGCCUACCAAGGCGACGAUCUGUAGCUGGUCUGAGAGGACGACCAGCCACACUGGGACUGAGACACGGCCCAGACUCCUACGGGAGGCAGCAGUGGGGAAUUUUGGACAAUGGGCGCAAGCCUGAUCCAGCCAUGCCGCGUGCGGGAAGAAGGCCUUCGGGUUGUAAACCGCUUUUGUCAGGGAAGAAACGGUUCGCGCUAAUACCGCGGACUAAUGACGGUACCUGAAGAAUAAGCACCGGCUAAAUACGUGCCAGCAGCCGCGGUAAUACGUAGGGUGCAAGCGUUAAUCGGAAUUACUGGGCGUAAAGCGUGCGCAGGCGGUUAUGCAAGACAGAUGUGAAAUCCCCGGGCUCAACCUGGGAACUGCAUUUGUGACUGCAUGACUUGAGUACGGUAGAGGGGGAUGGAAUUCCGCGUGUAGCAGUGAAAUGCGUAGAUAUGCGGAGGAACACCGAUGGCGAAGGCAAUCCCCUGGACCUGUACUGACGCUCAUGCACGAAAGCGUGGGGAGCAAACAGG